AGAGUUUGAUCAUGGCUCAGGACGAACGCUGGCGGCGUGCCUAACACAUGCAAGUCGAGCGGGGUGAGUUCUUCGGAACGAUCCUAGCGGCGGACGGGUGAGUAACACGUGGGUAACCUGCCUCAAAGUGGGGGAUAGCCUUUCGAAAGGAAGAUUAAUACCGCAUAACCCAUAGCUUCCGCAUGGAAGCAAUGGUAAAGAUUUAUCGCUUUGAGAUGGACCCGCGGCGCAUUAGCUAGUUGGUGAGGUAACGGCUCACCAAGGCCACGAUGCGUAGCCGACCUGAGAGGGUGAUCGGCCACAUUGGAACUGAGACACGGUCCAGACUCCUACGGGAGGCAGCAGUGGGGAAUAUUGCACAAUGGGCGCAAGCCUGAUGCAGCAACGCCGCGUGAGUGAUGAAGGUCUUCGGAUUGUAAAGCUCUGUCUUUGGGGACGAUAAUGACGGUACCCAAGGAGGAAGCCACGGCUAACUACGUGCCAGCAGCCGCGGUAAUACGUAGGUGGCAAGCGUUGUCCGGAUUUACUGGGCGUAAAGGGUGCGUAGGUGGAUAUUUAAGUCAGAUGUGAAAUCCCUGGGCUCAACCCAGGACCUGCAUUUGAAACUGGAUGUCUAGAGUGCGGGAGAGGUAAGUGGAAUCCCUAGUGUAGCGGUGAAAUGCGUAGAGAUUAGGAGGAACACCAGUGGCGAAGGCGACUUACUGGACCGUAACUGACACUGAGGCACGAAAGCGUGGGUAGCAAACAGGAUUAGAUACCCUGGUAGUCCACGCCGUAAACGAUGAGUACUAGGUGUAGGGGGUAUCGACUCCCCCUGUGCCGCAGUUAACACAAUAAGUACUCCGCCUGGGAAGUACGAUCGCAAGAUUAAAACUCAAAGGAAUUGACGGGGGCCCGCACAAGCAGCGGAGCAUGUGGUUUAAUUCAAAGCAACGCGAAGAACCUUACCUAGACUUGACAUCCCCUGCAGUUACUUCGUAACUGAGGAAAGUACCUCUCGGGACAGGGAAGGAACAGGUGGUGCAUGGUUGUCGUCAGCUCGUGUCGUGAGAUGUUAGGUUAAGUCCUGCAACGAGCGCAACCCUUAUCAUUAGUUGCUACCAUUCAGUUGAGCACUCUAGUGAGACUGCCCGGGUUAACCGGGAGGAAGGUGGGGAUGACGUCAAAUCAUCAUGCCCCUUAUGUCUAGGGCUACACACGUGCUACAAUGGUGAGUACAAAGAGAUGCAAUCCCGUGAGGGGGAGCCAAACUUAUAAAACUCAUCUCAGUUCGGAUUGUAGGCUGAAACUCGCCUACAUGAAGCUGGAGUUGCUAGUAAUCGCGAAUCAGCAUGUCGCGGUGAAUACGUUCCCGGGCCUUGUACACACCGCCCGUCACACCAUGAGAGCUGGCAACACCCGAAGUCCGUAGUCUAACCGUAAGGAGGACGCGGCCGAAGGUGGGGUUAGUGAUUGGGGUGAAGUCGUAACAAGGUAACC
rnacentral:rRNA from 1 species